rnacentral:rRNA from 1 species
UACGGGGGGGCAAGCGUUGUUCGGAAUCACUGGGCGUAAAGGGUGCGUAGGCGGCUGCCUAAGUCAGGUGUGAAAUCUCCCGGCUCAACCGGGAAACUGCGCUUGAUACUGGGCGGCUCGAGUGAGGUAGGGGUGUGUGGAACUUCCGGUGGAGCGGUGAAAUGUGUAGAUAUCGGAAGGAACGCCAGCAGCGAAAGCGGCACACUGGGCCUUUUCUGACGCUGAGGCACGAAAGCCAGGGGAGCGAACGGG